UACGUAGGGUGCAAGCGUUAAUCGGAAUUACUGGGCGUAAAGCGUGCGCAGGCGGUUGUGCAAGACAGAUGUGAAAUCCCCGGGCUUAACCUGGGAAUGGCAUUUGUGACUGCACGGCUAGAGUGUGUCAGAGGGGGGUAGAAUUCCACGUGUAGCAGUGAAAUGCGUAGAUAUGUGGAGGAGUACCGAUGGCGAAGGCAGCCCCCUGGGAUAACACUGACGCUCAUGCACGAAAGCGUGGGGAGCAAACAGG
rnacentral:rRNA from 1 species